rnacentral:rRNA from 1 species
GACGAACGCUGGCGGCGUGCUUAACACAUGCAAGUCGAACGGAAAGGCCCUGCUUUUGUGGGGUGCUCGAGUGGCGAACGGGUGAGUAACACGUGAGUAACCUGCCCUUGACUUUGGGAUAACUUCAGGAAACUGGGGCUAAUAUCGGAUAGGAGCUCCUGCUGCAUGGUGGGGGUUGGAAAGUUUCGGCGGUUGGGGAUGGACUCGCGGCUUAUCAGCUUGUUGGUGGGGUAGUGGCUUACCAAGGCUUUGACGGGUAGCCGGCCUGAGAGGGUGACCGGCCACAUUGGGACUGAGAUACGGCCCAGACUCCUACGGGAGGCAGCAGUGGGGAAUAUUGCACAAUGGGCGGAAGCCUGAUGCAGCAACGCCGCGUGCGGGAUGACGGCCUUCGGGUUGUAACCCGCUUUCGCCUGUGACGAAGCGUGAGUGACGGUAAUGGGUAAAGAAGCACCGGCUAACUACGUG